AUUGAACGCUGGCGGCAUGCCUUACACAUGCAAGUCGAACGGCAGCGGGGGAGAAGCUUGCUUUUCCUGCCGGCGAGUGGCGAACGGGUGAGUAAUACAUCGGAACGUGCCCUGUAGUGGGGGAUAACUAGUCGAAAGAUUAGCUAAUACCGCAUACGACCUGAGGGUGAAAGGGGGGGACCGCAAGGCCCCAUGCUAUAGGAGCGGCCGAUGUCUGAUUAGCUAGUUGGUGGGGUAAAGGCCUACCAAGGCGACGAUCAGUAGCUGGUCUGAGAGGACGAUCAGCCACACUGGGACUGAGACACGGCCCAGACUCCUACGGGAGGCAGCAGUGGGGAAUUUUGGACAAUGGGCGAAAGCCUGAUCCAGCAAUGCCGCGUGUGUGAAGAAGGCCUUCGGGUUGUAAAGCACUUUUGUCCGGAAAGAAAUGGCUCUGGUUAAUACCUGGGGUCGAUGACGGUACCGGAAGAAUAAGGACCGGCUAACUACGUGCCAGCCGCCGCCGUAA
rnacentral:rRNA from 1 species